rnacentral:tRNA from 1 species
CCCAGCGUGGCGUAGUGGUUUGAGUGUUGGACUGUGACUCUGGGGACCAGGGUUUGAUUCCCGGCUCAGCCA